rnacentral:rRNA from 1 species
UACAGAGGGUGCGAGCGUUAAUCGGAAUUACUGGGCGUAAAGCGCACGUAGGCGGCUUGGUAUGUCGGGUGUGAAAUCCCCGGGCUCAACCUGGGAACUGCAUCCGAAACUGCCUUGCUAGAGUAUGGGAGAGGGAAGUGGAAUUUCCGGUGUAGCGGUGAAAUGCGUAGAUAUCGGAAGGAACAUCAGUGGCGAAGGCGGGUCUCUGGGCAGUAACUGACGCUGAGGAGCGAAAGCGUGGGGAGCGAACAGG